CUGUCCUUUGUCAGCACGAGUGGCAGCAGCAUUGCUAAUGAACACAAUUUACUGAAGUAGUGUUCAUCCCCCAAGUGUAAGAAAUGACUAGAGACUUGGCUUCAAAAGAGGGUGAAUGACUGCCUGGUGCUGACUCACCACUCAGCUGCGACUGCUUCUAGCCAAGAGGGAGGCUCAGCAGCACCCGCACAGUGGCUGUCUCCUGCCAGAGCGCCCUCUCUGCUUCCUCUAAAGCUACUGUUCCAUGGUUAGACCUGGUGCGAUCUUCCAAUUUCUCUGAAGAUAAAGACCGACAUCUUGUACAUGGUCUUCUAAGCUCUAAAUGAGUUGGAUCUUGCCCCAGCACCAACUGAAGAUAAAUAAAUUCCCACUCUGCAUGUG